rnacentral:rRNA from 1 species
UCCUACGGGGAGCAGCAGUGGGGAAUAUUGGACAAUGGGGGGAACCCUGAUCCAGCCAUGCCGCGUGUGUGAAGAAGGCCUUUUGGUUGUAAAGCACUUUAAGCGAGGAGGAGGCUACUGGUAUUAAUACUACCGGAUAGUGGACGUUACUCGCAGAAUAAGCACCGGCUAACUCUGUGCCAGCAGCCGCGGUAAUACAGAGGGUGCGAGCGUUAAUCGGAUUUACUGGGCGUAAAGCGUGCGUAGGCGGCUUUUUAAGUCGGAUGUGAAAUCCCUGAGCUUAACUUAGGAAUUGCAUUCGAUACUGGGAGGCUAGAGUAUGGGAGAGGAUGGUAGAAUUCCAGGUGUAGCGGUGAAAUGCGUAGAGAUCUGGAGGAAUACCGAUGGCGAAGGCAGCCAUCUGGCCUAAUACUGACGCUGAGGUACGAAAGCAUGGGGAGCAAACAGGAUUAGAUACCCUGGUAGUCCAUGCCGUAAACGAUGUCUACUAGCCGUUGGGGCCUUUGAGGCUUUAGUGGCGCAGCUAACGCGAUAAGUAGACCGCCUGGGGAGUACGCACG